CAGAGGACUCAUCGAAAAAUGGUGACCCUGGCGCGAGAGCGCCAGUGGAAAACCGGGUGAAUUCAGGGAAACCGUCGGCCUUGCAAGAGGUAUCACGGCAAUCCUGAGCCGAGCCCGCCGAAGGCAGGUCGCGAGACCGGUAGGCGGGAAGGUGCAGAGACUAGGGUGCGAGGAGCCGAUCCGAUAAGCACCCCACGAGCGCCCGGCGCCCGAACGCGCGACAGACCUUCAUGGUGGUCGCGGCGCGGGCGAUGAGAUAGUCCAGGGAGCAGGGAAACCUGCAC
rnacentral:ncRNA from 1 species